CGGCUCGCUUUCCGAACUUUUCUACCGGCUUCUUUUCGGAGCAGGCCCAGCCCAGCCAGUGACGCAAGCUUCGCUCCAGGUCACUGAUUGGCUGAGGGCGUGGUCAGAUGGUCAGACGGUCAGACGGAGCAGCAAAGAGAAGAAAAACGAGGCGCAACGUUUCAACUCGCUGCAACACGGAAGUGAUGAAGAUACAAACACCGACCCAGAUGCAGCUAACGCCGCCACCGCUGCUCUCCAGCCAGAGAACAGAAGAGGAGGAACAUGGCUGACAUGAUGGAGAACGAUGAGGAGAACCGUCAGAACAACAACUGGAUCUCCUUCAGGAGGAAGCAGCUACCAGCUGAUGGCAGAGCUCCAUGAAGAGCCGAGGCAAAUAAAAGAAGAAAAUAAAUGCUGUUUUCUCUCAGUGAA